rnacentral:lncRNA from 1 species
UAACUAUACAACUUUUAUAGGUGAGUCAGCAUCUCUCUGACAGUUUUCAUAUCUUCAUGUUGUUGCUGAAGAUCAUUGGACAUGGACGCUAAAAUAUAACACUUUGUCUUAUUAUCUUCAUCUAUCCACUUCUCAAGUACGGCUCGUUGAUCAGGGGAUGGAUGAGUAGGUAACACAGGUACAUCUUGGUCGAGGAUAUGGGUAAGUUUUUCGAAACUAAGAAUGAUUUUUAAAUUUCAGAGCCAAUCUUUGUAAUUCAUACUGGUUGUUGGUGCAAAAAUUCGUCUGCACCGGAGAAGCUGGAGUCGAGGG